rnacentral:rRNA from 1 species
AGUGAACGCUGGCGGUAGGCCUAACACAUGCAAGUCGAACGGCAGCACAGUAAGAGCUUGCUCUUACGGGUGGCGAGUGGCGGACGGGUGAGGAAUACAUCGGAAUCUACUUUUUCGUGGGGGAUAACGUAGGGAAACUUACGCUAAUACCGCAUACGACCUACGGGUGAAAGCGGGGGAUCUUCGCACCUUGCGCGUUUGAAUGAGCCGAUGUCGGAUUAGCUAGUUGGCGGGGUAAAGGCCCACCAAGGCGACGAUCCGUAGCUGGUCUGAGAGGAUGAUCAGCCACACUGGAACUGAGACACGGUCCAGACGCCUACGGGAGGCAGCAGUGGGGAAUAUUGGACAAUGGGCGCAAGCCUGAUCCAGCCAUACCGCGUGGGUGAAGAAGGCCUUCGGGUUGUAAAGCCCUUUUGUUGGGAAAGAAAAGCAGCAGGUUAAUACCCCGCUGUUCUGACGGUACCCAAAGAAUAAGCACCGGCUAACUUCGUG